rnacentral:rRNA from 1 species
CUUGAACGCUGGCGGCAGGCCUAACACAUGCAAGUCGAGCGAGUGGCGGACGGGUGAGUAAUGUCUGGGAAACUGCCUGAUGGCGGGGGAUAAAUACUGGAAACGGUAGCUAAUACCGCAUACCAUCGGAUGUGCCCAGAUGGGAUUAGCUAGUAGGUGGGGUAACGGCUCACCUAGGCGACGAUCCCUAGCUGGUCUGAGAGGAUGACCAGCAACACUGGAACUGCGACACGGGCCAGACUGCUACGGGAGGCAGGAGUGGGGAAUAUUGCACAAUGGGGGAAAGCCUGAUGCAGCCAUGCCGCGUGUGUGAAGAAGGCCUUCGGGUUGUAAAGUACUUUCAGCGAGGAGGCGUUACUCGCAGAAGAAGCACCGGCUAACUCCGGGCCAGCAGCCGCGGUAAUAC